rnacentral:rRNA from 1 species
ACCAGUUUAUCCUGCUGGAGGUCGCUGCUAUCGGAAUUCGACUAAGCCAUGCAAGUCCUGGGAUCGCAAGAAACCGGCAAACUGCUCAGUAACACGUCGAUAAUCUAACCUUGGGUCCAUGAUAACUUCGGGAAACUGAGGCUAAUAAUGGGCAGGGGAUUUCUACUGGAAGGUGAUUUCCCCUAAAGGCAACGCCCAAGGAUGAGUUGGCGGCGGAUUAGCUUGUUGGUGGGGUAAUGGCCCACCAAGGCAUUGAUCCGUAGGGGCCUUGGAAGAGGUAGCCCCGAGAAGGGCACUGAGAUACUGGCCCUAGCCCCACGGGGUGCAGCAGGCGCGAAACCUUUACAAUACACGAAAGUGUGAUAAGGGGAUUCCGAGUGUCUAUACUAAGUAUAGGCUUUUUUUAAGAGCAAAAUUCUUGAAGAAUAAGUGGUGGGUAAGACCGGUGCCAGCAGCCGCGGUAAUCCCGGCGCCACUAGUAGGGACCUUGAUUAUUGGGCCUAAAGCGUACGUAGCAGGUCUAGUAAAUCUCUUGUGAAAUUGUUGGGCUUAACCUAACAGCGUGCAGGAGACACUGCUGGACUAGGGACCGGGAGGGGUUGAAGGUAUUCCUUGGGGAGCGGUAAAAUGCUAUAAUCCUUGGAGGACCACCUGUGGCGAAGGCGUUCAACCAGAACGGGUCUGACUGUGAGGGACGAAAGCCAGGGGAGCAAUCCGGAUUAGAUACCCGAGUAGUCCUGGCUGUAAACUCUGCGAGCAAGGUGUUGCAUAUUCUACUAGGAAUAUGCAGUGUCGAAACGAAGGUGUUAAGCUCGCCGCCUGGGAAGUACGGUCGCAAGACCGAAACUUAAAGGAAUUGGCGGGGGAGCACUACAAGGGGUGCGGCGUGCGGUUUAAUUGAACUCAACACCGGGAAUCUCACCAGGAGCGACGGUAGAAUGAAAGUCAGUCUGAAGGGCUUACUUAACGAGCCGAGAGGUUGCGCAUGGCCGUCGUCAGCUCGUGCCGUGAGGUGUCCUGUUAAGUCAGGCAACGAGCGAGACCUGCAUCUACAAUUGCUAACAGCUCUUCACAGAGGUCUGAGCACAUUGUAGAGUCUGCCUUGGAAACGAGGAGGAAGGUGCAGGCUACGGUAGGUCUGUAUGCACCGAAUCCCCUGGGCUACACGCGCGCAACAAAUGUAGGGACAAUGGGAUGCAACUCUGAAAAGAGGAGCUAAACCUCGAAACCCUAUCCCAGUCCAGAUCGAGGGCUGAAACUCGCCCUCGUGACGUCGGAAUCCCUAGUAAUCGGACGUCAUCAGCGUCCGGUGAAUACGUCCCCGCUCCUUGCACACACCGCCCGUCAAACCACCCGAGCAGGGUUUAAGUGAGGCCUAGCCCUUAGCUAUGUCGAACUUGAGCUCAGUGAGGAGGGUUAAGUCGUCACAAGGUA